rnacentral:rRNA from 1 species
CCUACGGGUGGCAGCAGUGGGGAAUAUUGGGCAAUGGGCGCAAGCCUGACCCAGCAACGCCGCGUGAAGGAAGAAGGCUUUCGGGUUGUAAACUUCUUUUAAGAGGGAAGAGCAGAAGACGGUACCUCUUGAAUAAGCCACGGCUAACUACGUGGCAGCAGCCGCGGGAAUACGGAGGUGGCAAGCGUUGUCCGGAUUUACUGGGUGUAAAGGGCGGGUAGCCGGGCUGACAAGUCAGAUGUGAAAUCCCGUGGCUCAACCACGGAACUGCAUUUGAAACUGUCGGUCUUGAGUGUCGGAGAGGUAGGCGGAAUGCGUAGUGUAGCGGUGAAAUGCAUAGAUAUUACGCAGAACACCGGUGGCGAAGGCGGCCUGCUGGACCCCAACUGACGGUGAGGCGCGAAAGCGUGGGGAGCAAACAGGAUUAGAUACCCGAGUAGUC